rnacentral:rRNA from 1 species
CCUGGGGAGUACGGCCGCAAGGUUAAAACUCAAAUGAAUUGACGGGGGCCCGCACAAGCGGUGGAGCAUGUGGUUUAAUUCGAUGCAACGCGAAGAACCUUACCUACUCUUGACAUCCAGAGAACUUAGCAGAGAUGCUUUGGUGCCUUCGGGAACUCUGAGACAGGUGCUGCAUGGCUGUCGUCAGCUCGUGUUGUGAAAUGUUGGGUUAAGUCCCGCAACGAGCGCAACCCUUAUCCUUUGUUGCCAGCGCGUGAUGGCGGGAA